rnacentral:rRNA from 1 species
GAUGAACGCUGGCGGCGUGCCUAAUACAUGUAAGUCGAGCCAACGUACGAGAAGCUUGCUUCUCUGAUGUUAGCUGCGGACGCGUGAUUAACACGUGGAUUACCUACCCACAAAACUGCGAUUACUUCGGGAAACCGGAGCUUAUACCUGAUAAUACUUUGAACCGCAUGGGUCUAACGUGAUAGACGGUCCUUCUGUUCCGUAUAGAAGGACCCGCGCUGCUUUAUCUAGUUGGUAAGGUAACGGCUUACCAAGGCAACUUUGCAUAGCCUACCGGAGAGGGUGAUCGGCCACACUGGACCAGAGCCACGGUCCAGACUCAUACGGGAGGCAGCAGUAGGGAAUCUUCCGCAAUAGGCGGCAGCCUGACGAAGCGCCGCCGCGUGAGUGCUGUAGGUCUUCGGAUCGAAAACCUCUAUUAUGCGGGACGAACAUAUGUGUAAGUAACUGUUCACAACUUGACGGUACCUAAUCAGAAAGCCACGGCUAACUACGUG